GCUCCAGCUCUGGUCGGUAGAGCGUUAGGCUUUUAACCUAACGGUCCAGGAUUCGAGUCCCUGUUCGGGCG
rnacentral:tRNA from 1 species